GGCGUGCCUAAUACAUGCAAGUCGAACGCUUCUUUUUCCACCGGAGCUUGCUCCACCGGAAAAAGAGGAGUGGCGAACGGGUGAGUAACACGUGGGUAACCUGCCCAUCAGAAGGGGAUAACACUUGGAAACAGGUGCUAAUACCGUAUAACAAUCGAAACCGCAUGGUUUUGAUUUGAAAGGCGCUUUCGGGUGUCGCUGAUGGAUGGACCCGCGGUGCAUUAGCUAGUUGGUGAGGUAACGGCUCACCAAGGCGACGAUGCAUAGCCGACCUGAGAGGGUGAUCGGCCACAUUGGGACUGAGACACGGCCCAAACUCCUACGGGAGGCAGCAGUAGGGAAUCUUCGGCAAUGGACGAAAGUCUGACCGAGCAACGCCGCGUGAGUGAAGAAGGUUUUCGGAUCGUAAAACUCUGUUGUUAGAGAAGAACAAGGAUGAGAGUAACUGUUCAUCCCUUGACGGUAUCUAACCAGAAAGCCACGGCUAACUACGUGCCAGCAGCCGCGGUAAUACGUAGGUGGCAAGCGUUGUCCGGAUUUAUUGGGCGUAAAGCGAGCGCAGGCGGUUUCUUAAGUCUGAUGUGAAAGCCCCCGGCUCAACCGGGGAGGGUCAUUGGAAACUGGGAGACUUGAGUGCAGAAGAGGAGAGUGGAAUUC
rnacentral:rRNA from 1 species